AGAGAAAGGAGCUAAAGACUGGGAAUUCGCCAAUAAGACUGGGAGACAGCCUACCCUCAUUUUGUGGGGAGCUACAGUGCUUUUUCGGACUGAAUUCCAGCAAGACACGGCUCCGGAUAUUUUUAUUCUGGUAUCGCUAGCAGGGGACAGUCUCGUAAAACAGUCUCUCUUAUACCUUUUGUGGUCUUAGCGAGGCGCUUCGAGUUAGCGAAGCGCUGUAGUAGCGCCGAAGCCCUAUGUGCUAUAAUGCUGAGCCAAGGACGCUC
rnacentral:lncRNA from 1 species